GGUGUUUACUGUCGAACUGAACACUCUACCGUUUACUGUCUGGUGGUGCUCUUCACCGAGUGUCACCAGUGGUCGGUACGUUUACUUUGAAAAAAUUAGAGUGCUCAAAGCGGUUUUUACACGACCGAAUACUGUUGCAUGGAAUAAUGAAAUAGGACUUUGGUUCUAUUUUGUUGGUCUUCGGAACCAAGGUAAUGAUUAAGAGGGACAGACGGGGGCAUUAGUAUUGCGACGCUAGAGGUGAAAUUCUUGGACCGUCGCAAGACUAACUAAAGCGAAAGCAUUUGCCAAGAAUGUUUUCAUCAAGAACGAAAGUUAGAGGUUCGAAGGCGAUCAGAUACCGCCCUAGUUCUAACCAUAAACGAUGCCAACCAGCAAUCAGCCUGUGUUCUCUUGAUGACACGGCUGGCGGCUUCCGGGAAACCAAAGUCUUUCGGUUCCAGGGGAAGUAUGGUUGCAAAGCUGAAACUUAAAGGAAUUGACGGAAGGGCACCACCAGGAGUGGAGCCUGCGGCUUAAUUUGACUCAACACGGGGAAACUCACCCGGCCCGGACACUGUGAGGAUUGACAGGUUGAAGCCCUUUCUUGAUUCAGUGGGUGGUGGUGCAUGGCCGUUCUUAGUUGGUGGAGUGAUUUGUCUGGUUAAUUCCGAUAACGAACGAGACUCUAGCCUACUAAUUAGACCGUGGCGUCCUCGUGCCGCCACGGCGCUUCCUAGAGGGACAGACGG
rnacentral:rRNA from 1 species